rnacentral:lncRNA from 1 species
AUAAAUAUAAUUUAUGUUUCCAACCAUAAAUGUACAUGAAGAGAAUGUAAAAAAAUGAUUAAAAAAAGGAAGCAUUGCAGUAAUAACAACCUAAGAUCAUAAAUGAACCAUUACAUGUAGGGAAAAAAAAAGUACAUAUUAAAUCUCAACUUCACUUUGAUUAGUAUUUUUUGGAGUGCACAAACUUUCAGUCAUAAAAUCACAUUUCACAUCUCCGUAGUAUUAGAUUCUCCAGCAACUUAUCCUCAGGAAGGAGCAACUUAUCCUCAGGAAUUAAGGUGCAUUUAAGAGAGGGACUAAUGAGUAUAUUCUGAAAGUAUAUACAUAUACAUUGCAUAGUACCAGAAGGGGAAUUCGAGGAGCGGUGGUUUAUUAUCGUUGGAUUUUGCCGCAAAUGAGAGCGGGGAUAACUGAGGAGCCUCGAUGUUGACUUUCAUAUUCCUAAGUGAAAUUAAAAGAAAAAUUACACAUAAAGAAGAAAAAAAGCAAUUCUUUAAAUAAUGCAAUGAAGUUCCUUAUGUUAUACGCGUAAGAACGAAACUUUGAUUUUUUUUAUAGCCGCAUAUAAAAAAAGGUUUUGUUACCUAGUAACCACACUGUGUAAGGCUCAACGCUAAUCAGUCAAAUGCAUAUCUUCAACCUUGAUAUGUGUUCGAAUUUGGGCUGUUUUUACAAGUUAAACUUUCGGAGAAAUAUUAAUGAGAGAAAGGAAAAGG